CAGUGCCACGGUAAAACGAAGGGUGCAAGCGUUAAUCGGAAUUACUGGGCGUAAAGCGCACGUAGGCGGCUUGGUAAGUUAGAGGUGAAAGCCUGGAGCUCAACUCCAGAAUUGCCUUUAAGACUGCCGAGCUAGCAGGUGAGAGAGGUAAGUGGAAUUCCGAGUGUAGAGGUGAAAUUCGUAGAUAUUCGGAAGAACACCAGUGGCGAAGGCGGCUUACUGGCUCAUACUGGACGCUGAGGUGCGAAAGCGUGGGGAGCAAACAGGAUUAGAUACCCCCGUAGUCCCUGUCUCUUAUACA
rnacentral:rRNA from 1 species